rnacentral:misc_RNA from 1 species
AACGCACCUUGCGCUCCUUGGUAUUCCGAGGAGCAUGCCUGUUUGAGUGUCAUUAAAUUCUCAACCUUUCUGGCUUUUAUUAGUCCGUUAGGCUUGGAUGUGGGAGUUGCGGGCUUCUCAGAAGUCAGCUCUCCUUAAAUGCAUUAGCGAAACCUUUGUUGACCAUCUCUGGUGUGAUAAUUAUCUACGCCAUUGGGAAGCAGCUUUAAAAUCGGUUUAGCUUCUAACCGUCUUCUGGACAAUUCUUGACAUUUGACCUCAAAUCAGGUAGGACUACCCGCUGAACUUAA